AUUAAAAGUUUUUUAAUAUUUUCGAGAAACAGCUUAAAAUAAUACCGUACCGUAAACCGACACAGGUGAACAAAUUUAGUAAAUUAAGGUGCUUGAGUUAAUUGUACCAAAGGAACUCGGCAAAAUGACUCCGUAACUUCGGGAUAAGGAGUAGCUUUUCUAGGUUAAACCCUUAAAAAGCUGGCACAAAAUCGAGGACAGCGACUGUUUAAUAAAAACACAGGUCUCUGCGAAUUUGAAAAAAGAAGUAUAGAGACUGACGCCUGCCCGGUGCUGCAAGAUUAAGAGAAAAAGUUUUGGCUUUGACUUUAACUCCCAGUAAACGGCGGCUGUAACUCUGACGGUCCAAAGGUAGCGAAAUUCCUUGGCAUUUAAUUGGUGUCCUGCAUGAAUGGCGUAACGACUGUCCUACUGUCUCUGGUACAAUCUCAGUGAAAUUGAAAUGUCUGUGAAGAUGCAGACUACUUGCGGCUAGACGGAAAGACCCUGUGCACCUUUACUAUAGUUAUGAAUUGUAAUAAAUUUUUUUUUGUGUAGAAUAUGUGGUAAGUUUUUAUUAGACCGUAACGUAAGUUAUCUGUUUAAACAUCAAUGAAAUACCACUCUUAAAAAUUUUUGUUACUCAUGAUUUCAAAACAGUUCAUAAUGGGUAGUUUGACUGGGGCGGUCGCCUCCUAAAGAGUAACGGAGGCGUACGAAGGUAAGCUCAAAUUGAAAAAACUCAAUUGAAGAGCAUAAUAGUAUAUUGCUUGCUUGACUGAAAGAUUGACAAAUCGAACAGGGACGAAAGUCGGUUAUAGUGAUCCGGUGAUUCUGAGUGGAAAAGAUCAUCGCUCAACGGAUAAAAGGUACGCCAGGGAUAACAGGCUAAUCAAUCUUUAGAGACCCUAUCGAUGGAUUGGUUUGGCACCUCGAUGUUGGAUUAUCGCAUCCUGGAGCUGUAAGUGGUUCCAAGGGUUUGGCUGUUCGCCAAGAAAGGCGGUACAUGAUCUGAGUUUAGAACGUUGUAAAACAGUUUGGUCCCUAUCUACCGUAAGUGUUAAAAAUUGAAAGGAGUAAACCCUAGUACGAGAGGACCGGGAAAAGUGAAUCUCUGGUAAAUCGAUUGUUAUAGUAAUAGCAUUGUCGAGUAGCUAUAUUCAUAAUAGAUAAUUGUUGAAAGCAUUUAAACAAGAAACUAACCUUGAAAAUAAUUUUUAAAAAGCCGUAAUAGAUUAUUACGUAAUAGGCUUAAUGUGUACGAAUUGUAAAAUUUUUAGCUAAUAAGUACUAAAAUCUAAAUUGUGUAAG
rnacentral:rRNA from 1 species